AGUGAACGCUGGCGGUAGGCCUAACACAUGCAAGUCGAACGGCAGCACAGGAGAGCUUGCUCUCUGGGUGGCGAGUGGCGGACGGGUGAGGAAUACAUCGGAAUCUACUCUGUCGUGGGGGAUAACGUAGGGAAACUUACGCUAAUACCGCAUACGACCUACGGGUGAAAGCAGGGGACCUUCGGGCCUUGCGCGAUUGAGUGAGCCGAUGUCGGAUUAGCUAGUUGGCGGGGUAAAGGCCCACCAAGGCGACGAUCCGUAGCUGGUCUGAGAGGAUGAUCAGCCACACUGGAACUGAGACACGGUCCAGACUCCUACGGGAGGCAGCAGCGGGGAAUAUUGGACAAUGGGCGCAAGCCUGAUCCAGCCAUACCGCGUGGGUGAAGAAGGCCUUCGGGUUGUAAAGCCCUUUCGUUGGGAAAGAAAUCCAGCUGGCUAAUACCCGGUUGGGAUGACGGUACCCAAAGAAUAAGCACCGGCUAACUUCGUGCCAGCCGCCGCGGUAA
rnacentral:rRNA from 1 species